rnacentral:rRNA from 1 species
CUCAAAUUUGAAAUCUGGCCCUCGGGUCCGAAUUGUAAUUUGUAGAGGAUGAUUUUGGUGCGGUAUCUUCCGAGUUCCUUGGAACAGGACGCCUUAGAGGGUGAGAGCCCCGUACGGUUGAAUGCCUAGCCUCUGUAAAUCUCCUUCGACGAGUCGAGUAGUUUGGGAAUGCUGCUCUAAAUGGGAGGUAAAUUUCUUCUAAAGCUAAAUAUUGGCCAGAGACCGAUAGCGCACAAGUAGAGUGAUCGAAAGAUGAAAAGCACUUUGAAAAGAGGGUUAAAUAGCACGUGAAAUUGUUGAAAGGGAAGGAUUUGUGACCAGACUUUUUCUGGGCGGAUCAUCCGGGGUUCUCUCCGGUGCACUUUGCCCAGUAAAGGCCAGCAUCGAUUUUCGGCGGCGGAUAAAAGCAGUGGGAAUGUGGCUCCCUACGGGGAGUGUUAUAGCCCAUUGUAUAAUACGCUGCUGGGGAUCGAGGUACGCGCUUCUGCAAGGAUGCUGGCGUAAUGGUUAUCAAUCACCCGUCUUGAAACACGGACCAAGGAGUCGAACAUUUAUGCGAGUGUUUGGGUGUUAAACCCUCACGCGUAAUGAAAGUGAACGGAGGUGAGAGCCCGUACGGGUGCAUCAUCGACCGAUCCUGAAGUUUUCGGAUGGAUUUGAGUAAGAGCAUAACUGUUCGGACCCGAAAGAUGGUGAACUAUGCGUGGAUAGGGUGAAGCCAGAGGAAACUCUGGUGGAGGCUCGCAGCGGUUCUAAC